rnacentral:rRNA from 1 species
GAUGAACGCUGGCGGCGUGCUUAACACAUGCAAGUCGAACGAUGAAGCCCAGCUUGCUGGGUGGAUUAGUGGCGAACGGGUGAGUAACACGUGAGUAACCUGCCCUUAACUCUGGGAUAAGCCUGGGAAACUGGGUCUAAUACCGGAUAGGAGCGUCCACCGCAUGGUGGGUGUUGGAAAGAUUUAUCGGUUUUGGAUGGACUCGCGGCCUAUCAGCUUGUUGGUGAGGUAAUGGCUCACCAAGGCGACGACGGGUAGCCGGCCUGGGAGGGUGACCGGCCCCAGUGGGCUGCGGGAGCGACCCGGGCGCCUACGGGGGGCAGGGGUGGGGAAUUGUGCAAAAUGGGCCCAAGGAUGAUGGAGGGGCGCCGGGGGGGGAAUGGCGGCCUUUGGGUAAGAAAACUUUUUCAAGGGGGAAGAAGCAAAAGGGAGGGUACCUGCAAGAGAAGCACCGGCAACCUACGU